UACGGAGGGUGCAAGCGUUAUCCGGAUUUACUGGGCUUAAAGGGUGCGUAGGUGGGUCUGUAAGUCAGUGGUGAAAUCUCCGGGCUUAACUCGGAAACUGCCAUUGAUACUAUCUGUCUUGAAUACCGUGGAGGUCAGCGGAAUAUGUCAUGUAGCGGUGAAAUGCUUAGAUAUGACAUAGAACACCAAUUGCGAAGGCAGCUGGCUACACGAAUAUUGACACUGAUGCACGAAAGCGUGGGGAGCAAACAGG
rnacentral:rRNA from 1 species